GUUGGAAUGAUACAGAGAAGAUUAGCAUGGCUCUUGUGCAAGGAUGACACACAAAUUCGGGAAGUGUUUCAUAUUUUA
rnacentral:snRNA from 1 species